AAAGCAAAGCUUCUGACUACAUGAGCAUAAACUCGUCUGCACAGGCGGCAGCGCCAGCUCCAGCGACUCCGAAAGGAUCAGCGUCGGAUACCGUCGGUACACUUACUACCGCAGGCAACGAGCCAACAGUGAAGAAGAAAAAGAAGCUCUUGAAUGGCGCCAACAUCAAGUUCACUUUCCCCAGCGGCGCCACAUACGAGGGAAGUUUCAGGGAUGGGAGGGUCGAAGGAUACGGUGUCUACACUUACGCCAAAACCGGCGAUGUCUACGAGGGCGAGUGGAAAGCAGACCUCAAGCACGGUCAGGGCUGCUACACCUUCGCGAACGGCGACAAGUACACUGGACAGUGGUACAUGGGCAAGAAGCAAGGAAAAGGGCAGUUUGUUUUUGUCAAUGGGAACGAGUAUGUCGGCUCAUGGAGGAGGAAUGAAAUGAACGGCUACGGUCUCUUUUUGCUCGCGUCGAACGGUGACCGCUACGAAGGCUAUUGGAACGAGGGCGUCCGGCAAGGGGAGGGGUGCCUCUACUACGGCAACGGUGACUUGUACGACGGUGAGUGGUGUAGCGGCCAGCAGCAGGGCCUCGGCGUUUUUUUGCAAUCGAAUGACGACUUGUACUGUGGCCAGUGGGAUGCCGGGGUCAUGGACGGAAAAGGCGUCUUGCGAGAAAAGGGCAUCCUCUUCCUUGUCGAAUACGUAGGAGGCUACCUCAUUUCAAAGCAAAGGCAGAGCGAUGCCCUCGACGAGACAGAAAAGGAGUGGGCGCCUGCCUACCGACAUUAUCUUGCCUGGAUUGAACGUCACCAAGCUCCGGCUGCGUCAACGCUAACGGCGAAGGAACACAACAAGCUAAGAGACGAACUUCAAGCAGCCCUCGCUGAAAACAGCAUUCUUCGAAAGCGUCUCGAAGACCUACUUGCCCUGCAUCGGCCGAAAGCUCUCUCGGAUAACUCAGGCGGAGAGUCACCUUCUACACUUCUUUCGGCUGCUCUGGAGGAGGCUGGCGCAGAGUACUGGAAGGAGUCACUGCGGAAGCUCGAGAGCAGGCUAAAGCUACUUGAGUGCACACUUGCCGAACGUGUUGUGGAGGUGCGGAAGCUUAGAGAGCAGCUCAAAAAGAGCGAUGCCAAAGUGCGCGAGCUGGAGCUCGAAGACACACGGCGCAAGGUGUGGCUUCGUGGCACGAAGGAUAAAAGUGCGAAGGAAACGCCGCUAUUCAACGCACAAGCGCCAUCUGCGCCCCCAGGACUCCUAGACAUGGACAUUAUCGACGCCAACGAGGUGGAUCAGCUGAGGGAGCAGAACGCUGGGCUGAUGCGGCUGAACGAAGAGCUGCAGCGGAAGGCAUCCUUUCUCGCGACCGAAAACGCAAAGCUUGCCUUGAAGGAGGAAGCCGCCGAAGAGCAGUACGACAAACUCAUGGAGGAAGUGGAGAGGUUGCGGGUGACUUUGGAAAAUGAAGGCCGCGUCAACAUGAGUAUUGAGCCGCUGAAAACUGGAGACAUUGCUGCAACAGCAGCAGUGUCAGAGUCCGUAGCAGUAGGGGUGUCUUCACCGGUGCUACCCCCGUUUUCACCCGAGAUGAGCUUAGCACAUGAAGAGCUUCAGCAGAGGCUCAUGCAGGCCAACCAGCUGAACAUCGAGCUGCGGCUUAGAAUGGGCAAACUGGAGCGAACAGCUCAGUCGAAACCAAGCGUCGCUGGACUCUCCUCAUUCACUCCGGAGGCUUCGGAACUCGCGCGUGAGAAUGAGAUGCUGCGCUCUGUAGUAGCCAGUCUUAAAGCAGAAUUAGCGGUGAUACAGAGUGGUUUGAACGAUGCAAAGCAGCAAAUUGCUCUUGCCCAUCAGCGACAGGUAGAGCUGGAGGAGUCCAUGAAGAUGAUCACACACCGCAAAGCAGCCAACCCGCAGUUGCAUGAGGCGCUGGAGCGGAAAUCUGCGCGAAUAGCGAAUCUAGAACUGGAAAACGCAGAGCUCGCACGACUGUUGGACGAGACCCGUGCAGACCUGGAGGAGAGGCAGGCAAUAUCUUUGGAAACGAAACAGCAGUCGAGUUUCGGAUCGUCGACCGUCGGCGGCGCACUCAACGAGCUCGAGUUCGCUCAAAAGGAGGUAAAAAAGCUGCAGAGGCGAAUAAAGAAGUUCACGGGCGAGCGAAACAGUGUGACAGAGCAGGUUUACGAGUUGCAAAUGCGGUUGGCUCGCACCGAUCGAACCCUCAGUGCACUACAGGGCCGGGUUACCGUGUUCGCCUCCAUCGCUGGCGAUGGUAUCAGUGGUGCAGCAGUGGCAGAUGUGGCCGCGAGAGUCGAUGCCACCGAUUCCACGAAGCUGGUGGUGUGUGACUGUGGAGAGGAGACAACCUACCAGUACGACUACUGCUUUGAUAAAGAUGCCUCCGUGGAGCAAGUCUUCGCUGAGCUUUGCGGCCCUUUGGCUUUUGUGUGGUCGGGCUACCAGUUGGCGCUUAUGACGGUCGGCGGGUUUCGCUCAGGGAAGACCGGCCUCGUGAAAGAGAUCCUUCCUCUUUUCACGAAAUACCUGUCAAAGGAAGCGGGAGAGAAACCACAACGCUUGUUUUUCAGCUUCACCUACCGUGUCGCCGUUGUUGAGAUUUCUGCGCGUGGAGGCUUCGACUGUGCAUCGGGAGACAACGUCACGGAGGUGUGCUGCGAUUCGAACGGAUUUGUGCAGCCAAAGAACGUGCGCUUCGUCGACUGCACAAGUGGUAGCAUUCCCAUUGUGAUCGACAACCUUCUUGCCAAACGGCGGCAGCACUACAACGGCCGCUCACAUACCUGGAUCCAGCUCCAGUGUGUACGGACAAGCGUCGCGCGCCAGUGCCAGACAGUUGGCCGACUGACCAUUUUUGAUUGGUGCGGCAGCGCUUUGCUUGCAUCGCAGAAGAAGGACAUCGAGAGCGCGCGCUUUGCGAACGCGUCUAGCCAGGGUCUGCGAGACCUCGCCACAGCACUCGCGGGCGAGCUGCCUGUGAUUCCGUACACAAAAUCUGUAGAGACUUCGCUGCUGUUUGACUUGCUCGGUGGCAAUUCGAUAACUGCGGUGGUUGGCCGCAUACGAUCCUCCACGGAGCACAUCGAGGAGACCCUUCGAACACUUCAUGUUUUGACUUCUCUCUUCGGUGUGUGCAACGGACCUCUAGUGCCGGACAAUCAAACCAGCGAUGAGAUUCGUUGGCAGGGUCUUGUUGCAGCGCUGUGCUCCGACCACCAAGCGGAGAGAGAGCUGAAGGCGGUUGAAAACAUCCGGGACUUCUAGAGCAAUGCGGGUCUCUUUUGUGCUACAAAAUGUACAUACCUUACGGGUUCUUCCCUUCCCAUUGCUUGCUUUGUCGUAUCAUAACUCCAUCUUAGCAGCAUGUGAACAGCCUUUUUCUUGAGCACGUCUUGAGGUGUUCUUCCUUGAAGGCUCUCUGCAAGAGCACCAAAGGAAGGGCUUACCGCAAAGCGAUGUAAAGCGAGUAAAGACUCCCCGUCAUUUCCAUUGGCAUGCUUCGCCAAGCGCUCACCUUCUCUGUACCCUGCUAUGCUCUUCUUCUUUCAGAUCUUGAGGAACCGAGCCCUUGUAGGCCUUUGCGGUUUUCCUACCACGACAGGGUGUCGUGGGUGAUGCAAAAAAGGCGGGAUACGUGUGUGUACCUAUUUGCUCGUAGUGUUGUCCAGAGCGCGAAUGGAGGGAGAGCAGAGUGGUAUACUGUUGCACGGAAAGCGGAAAGUCGCCAGUUAGAGUGAGGUGUGAAGAUGUAUUGCAAUGCAUCGUGCCUUCGACGUCAUUCUCUCUCCCUUUUAUUCUUUCCCACGUGGCUGCUCUGUGGCUGUCGCGACUGCAUUGUGACUGGCUGCAAGCUGCUUUAGCGGCGUAGCCAUGCACAUCUGUAACUGCUGUGUCUUCAUUCUCUUUUUUCUUCUCGUAGUGCUGAGAGGAUCCUACAGCACCCAUUCACCAUUUCUUUGCUUGGAUCACAAGGCCCAACACACACACACGCACACACAAUGCCGUUUCUCGAUAGCGUAACACUGCAUGACUUUGAAGCUGUAGACGUGCACUGUGACUGCUCCCG
rnacentral:misc_RNA from 1 species